UUAGGAAGUAAAAGUCGUAACAAGGUUUCCGUAGGUGAACCUGCGGAAGGAUCAUUACAGAGUUAGGGUCUUUCAGGCCCGAUCUCCAACCCUAUGUGUAUUUACCUCUGUUGCUUUGGCGGGCCCGCUGGGGAACCCUCACCGGUGGCCAUAGGCUCCUGAGUGCCCGUCAGAGACCCAUCAAAAUCCUGUCAAAUGUGCAGUCUGAGUAUCAAUACAAUAAUCAAAACUUUCAACAACGGAUCUCUUGGUUCUGGCAUCGAUGAAGAACGCAGCGAAAUGCGAUAAGUAAUGUGAAUCGCAGAAUUCAGUGAACCAUCGAAUCUUUGAACGCACAUUGCGCCCCUUGGUAUUCCGAGGGGCAUGCCUGUUCGAGCGUCAUUACACCACUCAAGCUCCGCUUGGUGUUGGGUCUUCGUCCCGGUGGACGUGCCCGGAAAUCAGUGGCGGCGCGGCCCGGCUUCAAGCAGUAUCAACUAAACAUCCGCUUUGGAAGCCCCGGGUCCGGGUCUGCCAGACAACCCCCAAUUCUCAAAGGUGACCUC
rnacentral:rRNA from 1 species